CGUUGUUCUAAUGGAUGUUCAGCCCCACAGUAAGCUCAUCCCAGCGGGCCGGACGCGGCGGCCAGCCCGGGGAAAGGGCGCUCUGCUCGGGGAGGGACUCGGAGUUUCCCCCUCCGCCUUCGGAAGCUAAUCCAGAUAAAGAGCCAUUUCACCGGCCGGAUCCAGCGGUUUUCCCCCACGGAGAGGACGCUCAGGUCGGUGUGGAGGGUCCCGCCGAGCCGGCGAGCUAACCAGCCCAGGUGUGUUUCUGGUCGGAACCAGAAAUAUCCACAAACAUAAACCAGGGCGGUUUUAAUCCAGAGGGGAAGAACUACCCGGCUGGCUUCCCAGGAGCUCCCCACGCCGAGCAGGAUCCGGCCGGCCGGAGACAGCGGUGCCAGCCGGCGGCGCCUCCCGGAGACGGCGCUCAGCAGGCGGGAUGAAUAAAAGAUGACAUAUCGAUCCGACGAACCUGAAGACAACGGGGCUCUGCGGAGGUAUGGAGCCUCUGGACCCCCUGAUGAGCGCGUUUCCAGUCAGAGCCGCGAGGCUGGCAGCGGGAAACGAGGCGAAACAGAACCGGAAUUAAGAAUCGAAGCCCGGGAGAAGGAGCAGAGAGGCCCCGGGGAGCCGGAGGUGGUUCAACAAGUGGCUCGUCCGUCUGCGGAGGCUCCUUUCAUUCUGCUGCCGCUUCCUUUUCAGAGGCGGCUUCUUCUUCCGCGUCUGAGUCUCGACACUGAUUUACUCCUCCUCCUCAGCUUCAUCAGCUCCUCUUCCUCCUCCUUCAGCUCCUGCUCUUCCUCUCUCCUCCGCCUCCUCAGCGACUUCCAUAACGGCAAAUUAUAAAAUCUUUUAUUGAUCCCAAAGUUAAAAUUAAAAGUUAAAAUUAAACGCUGUACAUGCUGAUCUCCUGUAGCAGUCUGUAUUGCAACUAUUCUGAAGAUGCCUUUGACUCAAGACACUGUUGUUGUUUAAGGCUGCUGCAUGCUCCCACCGCCCAGUUCAGUCCGCUUCAACCCGGCUCCAGUCCGCUUCAACCCGGCUCCAGUCCGCUUCAACCCGGCUCCAGUCCGGUUUAACACGACUCCAGAAAGUCUAGAGUCUAGUCUAGAAAGUCGGCGCCUAGAAAGUCCGGUUCAUUUGUGGAGGUAUGAAUGCCAAUUGAACUCUGAUCCACCCUUGGGGCGUGCUGUGGUGGCACAGGGGGUUAGCACGCCCCACAUUUGGAGGCCUUAGACCCGCGGACGUCGCGGGUUCGAUUCCCGGUCCCGACGACCUUUGCCGCACGUCUUCCUUCAAAAUGUCCUCCGGCUCAGCUGGCUGCCUGCAGACGCAGCUCCUGUCCUGUGUGUAUUAAUCUGUGUAUAAAAAAUUCUUGCUGUAACUGCGAAAUAAUUUCCCUGCUGGGAUGAAGAAAGUAAUUCUAUUCUAUAGAAUAGAAAACCAGUGACCGCUAAAAGUGAACUACAGCGCAGGGCAUUCUGAGUAAAUGCAGCCAAAACAAACGUGCUAGCCUAACGCUAGCAGGAGAAAUGGCUCGUGGCCUUUAGCCAAAGACUAAGAGAAAUCCUCCAACCUCUAAAAUUUGACGCCAUUUUAGUUUCCAUUUGGUG